rnacentral:lncRNA from 1 species
GGGAACAUGCACUUUUAUUAACCAUCAGGUUUAAUAAAUACAAAUUCCUAAUGCGCGCUACACAACUUGCUAGCAGCAAUCUGACAAAGGCGAUGUGGUCUUCAUGGUUCCUGAGGCCUCGGAAGGCUCCCAGUUAAUUACCCCCGCGAGCUGACUCGCAGAGUACCUCCGAUUAAGCUGCUGUGGUCGUCGUCGUCGAUCUUCGCUUCACUUCUCCAUGCGUGGUGUUGGUGUAGAUGUAGGUGGCGUUGGCGUGAGGGCCUCGUCGGUCCAUGAGCCGGUACAACAUGACUGGAAUAUCAGCCAUGCCCGCCUGCGUCGUUCGCCUUGUCGGUGUCGAACUCUGCGUGGUGUCAUCAUAAUCGCACUUGCAUGGUUGGUGUCGCUUGAAUCGCCUCGGACUUCCUCGGCAGCGUCGUCGUGGUACGCCAUGAGCUUGAUCGCGUGGAGUUGUUGAAGUAGUGGAUGAAGACUUGUACGUCGCCUUGCUUGAAUCUUCAUCGUACGUGGAUGCAUAGCUUGUAUAUGUUCGCAUGUACAUGUACACAACCACAUCACGGCGCCGAGGUCCUAGCGGCCUGUACCUGUUCUUUGCUUGCACGUACAUGUGUAGAUGCAUGCAUGGCCAGAACAUAUAUAUCCACACAUACACGCGCUCGAGCGUGUUUGCUUCUUGCACUUGCAUAUCUUCUGAGUCGUUGCACAUAUACAUAUGCUAACGGUGCACGUAUGGCAUGUGCCUCGCCGCUGCCGUCGUGACUUGGCCGACAGCUAUACGCACGCACAGAGGGUGGUCGUAUCGAGCUCAUCUUCCAGGCUUUAACGUCCGCCAGUGUACACUCGGCAGCCGCGUCAUCCAGUCGUCAGCCAGCCUUGACGCCGGCCGAUGUAGAUACUGAUAUGCAAAAAUUGAAAGAAACAAUACUAGAUUGACUAGAUUAAUUUCUUACCCAUGGAUGUCGUGGACGAUGACAUCUCCUGUUGUUUGCUAGUCCUCUCAGAUGGAGAUGAAGACGUAUGUAUACCCUCCUUGCCGACGGCUGAGCGCACAAGAAGUCUGGCAGCACUUCGUGAACUAUGGAUGGGUGAUUGUAAUUAGCCUUCACGUGAGACCUCGAGACUCUUUAUAUAGGCAAGCAAUUAGGGUAGCAGCUAGCCUUCUCGGCCGUACGCGCGCCGCCGGAGUUGGUUAGCAUGCACGAGAUAUCCGGAACUGCCAGCUUCUUCCUUCGUAUGCAAGAUAAAGCCCGCGAUGCUUAUCGGCACGUUGCUAACAAACUAGCCAAAAAUCUCUCUGGCCGCACGUACCGAGCAUGGCUCGUCCAGAACUCAACCUGAUUAAACCUGGUUAACUUCUUUUCGUAGAGUCCAUGACGUGUGGGGUUCUGGCAAGAUGUAGUUAGCCUACGUACGUAUACUUAGCCAACUCAAAGUCCCGCGGCUGGUAGACAUGCAUGUACGUUAGCUGGCGAUAAACACACAUAUCAACCGAUCGUACAUACCGAGUGUCCCCGGAAUACCCCAUACUAUAUGCCGAACCGAACCAUACGGUGUCGACUUGCGCGCAGCCGGUUGGUAUACAACUAUACGUGGUAUACAUGUCUAGAUCGACCGGCGUACACACACGUGAUGAACUCUACAACCAAUUCUGGACAUAUACAGGCGCACGUACACAACUGCGCCUGUUAGUUUUUUUACUCGUACACGUUAACUUCUUUUCACCGGCUUGCACGAAGAAAUAUGCUAGCUUCUUUGGUUGCACGUCGAGGUGCAUACAUGCAUGCAUGGCACUGUAGCGUAUUAGCUUCUCUCCUUCUCAUAACGUGAAGAAGUCUGCUUGCCACUUUGCCUGUGUAUACAUAACAAAAGCAUAUGUAUGUCCGUAUAUAUGUUUUAUUUUCUUCAGGCACAAAACCAUUCUUGACAACACAUAAAUUUUCACGUAUGUGAGAAAGAACAGUUUUGUACAAAAUCUUGUCAAACAAAUGCCCCCCACCAAGAUGAGUUUGGACGGCGCAUAGCAAGUACGGACUCGUCUUGGUGAAGAAGCCGAUCAAGAUAUCCGGGCGCAACACGGUUUGCUGCCGUAUCCAUCAUGAACUCCGGUAUUCCAGAGUCCGGAUUACAACAAAAUAGCCCAAGGGUAGUAUAUAUAUCUACGGGACGCCUCAGCUUCCAUGACUUGCAAUUUUGCUACACGUCGUUCUCCGUCCAAGUCGCGCCCAAGUCAGGUCAUCGUUCACGCAACCUUUGGAGCUCAGCCAUCGCAACACAGCAAGUAUAAACUAGUUGCGUCAAUUCGUUUCCUCCUUGCUUUUUCAAUUAGCUUCUUUCGUAUUUGCACGUCGACACACAUAUACACGUGCAUGCAUGGAACUAUUUAACUUCUUCUUUCUUAUCUUCAAUUGACUGCUUGUUCUUGAUGCAGUGGCUCGUGAUGGUGAUGCACGUGUUGGAGAUUGGUCCGGUCGGCAGCGCCGUUCUCAGCGGGCUCGUGGCGAGCGCGAUGGAGAUUCACCCCGUAAAGAUGAACCCAAGGCUCGUGAAGAACGCCCGAAUCGGAACGCGUCGCAAUCUCGCAACGGCCAGCAUGCUCCACAACAGGAUAGCACGAAGACCCGCGGCAACCGGGAAGGCCGAGAUCUUCAACGCAGGGAGCAUCACAAUAUAGAAGCUCCACGCCAGAACGACUCUAGGAGCCGAGUCAAUCGUAACGGUCGGAACAUCUCGCGGAAGAGUGAGCCUAAACCUCACGAUACUACAGAUCAAUACAAGAUCGAGCCCCGCGUACCUCGUCGUCGGGUGUUUAUGGACGAUAGUGACUCCGACUCAGAGCCUCAUCCGAAGAGGAAGUUACGCCCAAGUGGGAGUGACUAUACGGAGGUAAAAGCAAGUACACCAUCGGAUCAGUCUCCUCCCAAGGUAACUCAAGACAAGAGAUUGUACUCGGCGGCGGACAGUGGCGGCGCACGUGAGGACAUGUCAUCCAAGCAAUUGCAAAGGAGUCCAAAGAAGAUGCGCCAAGACGACAAGCUCGUGGAGAGCAAGACGUCAUCUGACCCAUCAAGCCAUACUCCAGCAGCAGCCAGGCAAACUCUCCUUGAAGGCACUGAACCCACGCAGCAAUACAAGACUACACAGGUGUGCCUAUUCUCUGAGCUUAUAUAUACGUAUACUUCUUGUGCAUGCGAACAUACUGAAUUUAUUUAAUAUUUGUAGGGCAAAGCUAAAUUGCACCCAUUGAUCAACUUGGACGAGCAAGAAGGCUUUGAUGAAAACAUCUCUCUUGCCGACUACGGCAAAGACAACGUAAGCAUGCUCAGUAACCUUCUCUUUUUACUUCCUUUGACACUGUGGUAAUUUUCUUCAAAUAAUUUUGUCAAGUCAUUCAUGAACGAGGAUCUAAAUCUCCUUCCAUGGGAGGGAGUCUCAUUAGAAGAAGUACUUAGCCUUUUCACGGACUGCGUACAGGACUUCCCUCCUGCUGAAAUUGCGGAUGGCGCGCCCACAGCUACCGAACAGCUUCCUCAUGCACCAGUUCUUGUGUCGGCGCCAGCUUCAACACUACCUUCAGCUGAUCCUAACUCGGAGCCGCCAGUCAGUGGUAAAGUGUACGUCAUGCCGGAUGAUGGAAAUCAAGCAUCGCUCCAGGACGUUAUCAUGGCCCAGCAAACAAACAAACCUGCACAUCUAGAUGACCACGAAGCCCCGGAAGGUAACCUAGCAUUUUUUUACACAUGCAUGCUACAAUACAUAUAAGUGGCGUAGGCUUUGAUCUCAUUAUCACCUCCUUUGGCAGCCAAUGAUGACACUAAGGACAACACACCCCUCUCUAAGCUGGGCGCCUUAAAGAAGGAAGACAAUGCACAUCUCCAACUGAUGAACCAAGCCAAAGGGUUUGCUGCAAAGCUGGACUCGCUUCGCCUUCCUGACUUUCUGGAUGAUGACGCCUCCUUCAUCCUUGAGCUCCCUGAUGAUAGACAUGGUAUACGCGAGGAGUUGGGGGACCUCCGAACCCUGCUAGAGCUCAACCCUUUCGACGAGAGCAAGGCCCUUCGCCGUAUUAAAUUACUUUUUAAAUUACUGGGCGGUGAUGUACGAAGAGCCACGACCCGCGGCCUUGGCGCAGCUCAUGGACCACCUAAAAAGCCUGGAGGAGCAUUUGAAGAAGCGUUUGGAUGGCGAAACUCCUUCCCCUAUCGCGGUUGAUUCUGUCAUGGGAGAAGGGCAUCAACGCCUUCAUGAGCUGGAUGCUGCCCACUCCAAGACCAUGGUCGAUCUGAAGCAUCACAUCGAAGAGGGUGACGGGGCGCAGGCAGACCACUCAUCUCUUAGGAUGGAGCAGCAGGGUGCUACCGAAAAGGCUCGCGCUUUGGAUGAGAAGGUCCGUGCUCUUAAGGAGAAGACUCGUGCUUUUGAGGAGGAGGCCCGUGCUGCCUUGGGGACGUUGCGCCGACUCCAAGAGAUGGCAUGGAGACUUCCGUUGGAGCUGUGUUGCAGCGUUGGCCACAACGGAAGAAGUGGAGCUCUGCCGGGGCCGUGUUGUAGCAUUGGCCAGCAAGAAGGAUUCUGUCGGGGCUGUGUCAUGGUGUUGACCGACAGAAGAAAUGAAGCUCCGCCGGGGCGGUGUUACAACAUUGGCCAGCGGGAAGGAUGGUCUAUGUCGGGGCCGUGUUACGGCAUUGGCCAACGAGUAGACGUUGAACUUCAUUGGGGCCGUGUUGCGGCAUUGGCCAACAAGUAGACUGGGGCUUCAUUGGGGCCGUAUUGCGGCAUCGGCCAAUGAUGUGUCCAUCAGGUCCAUAUGGCAGUACUAGCCAAUCGGACGCCCUCACGUCAUCUUCGUCUUGCGGUGUAAAGUCCGUGUAACUUGACGAAGAAGUUUUAUCAAUUCCGGCGACCACUGUGUCGUAGUGUGUCGUGGUGCAAGCCAGCCGGAUUGAAGGGUUUCACAACAUUGGCGCUGUCCGCACUGGCGCACCAACACUGCUCCCGAAGGUGUGGUUUAUCAACCUAACGACCACUGUAUUGUAUGUAUCGUGGUGCGAGCCAGUCAGGCUGAAGGGUUUCACAACAUUGGCACUAUCCGCACUGGCGCACCAACACUGCUCCCGAAGUAGUGAAGCGAUGGACCUGCAACACUACUUAAAAAAAGGGGCUAGCUUGUCUGUAGAUGAUCCUCAUAGCUAGGGUAAUGUGAUGAUAAAGUAAAAUCGUUGAAAUAAGGGAAUGGUGUUUUUUUUAUUUUUAUUUUUUUUUAAAAAAAAUGUUGGCUCUCCCUUUAGCAUUAGCUAUAUAAGCAGCUCGAAAUAGGACAGCCAGGGGACAUUACCAUUAGGCGCCGUUGCGUGACCAUGGCAACAUGGCUCCCAUGAUUUCGCCCCAUUGUGUGCUUGAAUGUGUGGACUUCUGCUUUGAUGUUUCCACUGAGGUGAAGGGAAUUCUUGCUCGAGACUCCCUUGCGUUGAGUUGUACCACGGUCCACUCGCGCUCUCUAACAUUGAGCGUCGGGAUGGCUGAAUUGGUGUUGUGUUGUGGGUAAUGGCUAAUGAGCUCGCCAUUGCUUUUGCCGAGGAUGGUGAACGACUACCUCCGCCUCCCACUGGAUGUUGAGCUUGGUGUGAGAUUGAUUGGGCUCAUUUGGCAGGUACUCGGUCACUUCUUUGGAGACCCUUUUUCUUUCCUGCCUUUUUUUGUUUUUUUUGUUUUUUUCUUUUUUUUUUUGCUUGGAGCUUGCUUCAGCAUCCGAGGAACCUGGAGGGUAGCCAUUCACCUUUGUGUCGCUAGAUGAAUCCUCGCUGGCGUUGUGUUUUUUUUUAUGUCCCUUGUUAUCACCUUCCAGGGUGGCAAGUGGCUGCACACUUAAUGCAACUUGUGUUGCACCAGGUAGCCCUUUUCUUGCUCUUCUCCUAUAGUCUUCCCCGGAGUGUGUGUCACCUCAUGUUGGGACGCGCAAGCAGCAUGGUCGCCUCGCUGCUUAGGAGUGACCCAAGUCAUCUUCCCACUGCCCCCAGUGGAAACACGUUCGGCGUCUGUCGUGCGUCCCGUGAAAUGGUGGCUUGUCACGGGGUCCAUGCACUAGGCUGUUGCCCCCAGGCCUUUUGGAAAAGCCUCAAAGCUGUCGAAUCCUCCACUGCAGCUGCAGCUUGAUAGGGAGAGCCUUUGUGUUUUUUUGUUUCUUCUCCAUAGGGAGACAACCAAGUAGUGCAAUGGAAUAUGCAUACUGAUCAUCUCACAGAGAGGUAGAAAGAAAGAAAGAGAAAAAAAUAUAUUUUUUUAUGCAAAAUAUUUUUUUAAGAACCUUCCAUUGAUGGGCGGCAUUGGUCGGACUCCUUGUUGAUCGACCAGUUGGUAGGCGCCUCCGUUGUAGACUUGUUCGAUGGCGUAUGGUCCUUCCCACUUGGGCUCGAAUUUUCCUUUCGUCUUGUGUGUGACAACGAUAGGACGCCGAAGCGCGAGCACCAGUUCACCUUUCCUGAAGGCGCGCCGCUUGACGAGCUUGUUGUAGGCCCUCGCCAUGUUGUGGCGAUAUAGCUCCAGUUCUUGUACAGCCUUGAGGCGACCCUCCUCUAGGGCAUCGAGUUCCUGGAACCGGAGUCGGACCUGUUCAUCCUGAGUUAGCCCAUCAUGAAUAGCCACCCGUAAUGAUGGUAGCUGAAUCUCUAGAGGCAAAACUGCCUCACACCCAUACACAAGAGAAUAUGGGGUGGCUUGAGUUGGGGUACGGACCGUGACGCGGUACGCCCAUAGUGCUUCGAAGAGACGAUCAUGCCAGUCUCUCCUAUGCUUGUGCACUGUUUUCUUAAGUAUCUUGCCGAGGGUCUUGUUGAACGCUUCUAUCAUCCCGUUUGCCUGGGGAUAAUAGCCAGUGGAGUAGUUCCACUUGAUUUUAUACUUCUCCAUAAACCUAUGCAUCUUGUCUGAUCUGAAAGCUUUAGCAUUGUCAGAUGUGAUGCGACGUGGAAUUCCGAAGCGGUAUAUGAUGUGUCGCUCCAGAAAAUUGAUGGCGUUAGCGCUCUUCACCUUGCGCAAUGGUACUGCCUCCGCCCAUUUGGAGAAGUAGUCCGUUGCAGCAAGGAUAAAGCGAUGACCUCCAGAAGAAGGAGGGUCAAUGGGGCCGAUGACGUCCAUGCCCCAAGCGUCGAACGGCAAUGAAGGGACCGUCGGGUGAAGUGGUACUGGCGGUAGAUGCUUGAAAUUGCCAUGGAUUUGGCAACCAUGGCACGUCUUCGCCACUUCUAGGCAAUCUGCCAUGAUGCCCGGCCAAUAGUACCCAGCCAAGCGAACACUAUGAUACAUUUUUGGGCCACUCUGGUGCCCACCGCAAACUCCAUGAUGAACCUCCUUCAACACUUCAUCGGCCUCAUGACGGUUCACACAUCGUAGGAGCAUCUCUUGUCCGUAGGCGCGCUUGUAGAGCACACCUCCUUUGUAGACAUAGGAUGGAAGUCGUCGUUGUAGCUGACGUCUCUUCACUAUAUCAUCUGGGAGACUGCCAUGCUUGAAGUAGUCGAGGAAGGGUUUGCGCCAAUCGUCCUCUUUGAUGGCCCCCAUGGUGACAGUGUCGACUUCCUGUUCCGCCGAGAUGAGCACUAAUACAGCAGGAAGUAGCCACCUCUCCUCGAUAGUGACUUGUGCGGGUUUACCUUCGGGAAGGGCAAGCGCCGCUGCGAGCUUUGCCAAAGCAUCAGCUGGAGCAUUCCUGCUUCGUGGGACAUGAAGAAUUUCAAUAUUUUUGAAUUUAUUCAUGAGUUUUUGAGCUGCCUCACAAUAUGGCAUGAGUUCCGAUUUACGGACUUCAUAGACCCCAUUGAUCUGUCGAACAAUGAGCUGAGAGUCCCCAUGAACUCGCAGGGAACAUACCUCCAUGGAAAGUGCUAGGAGGAGGCCGAAGAUGAGUGCCUCAUACUCCGCUUCGUUAUUGGAACACUCCUCCUUGAGAAGGGAGUAUGAGUGGUACAUCACUCCUCCCUGUGGGGUCUUGAACACCAGCCCAGCUCCAGCUCUUCGUCUUGAGGUACCAUCGAGGGCGACUUCCGCUCGUGAGGCACCGUCAAAGUAGAGCUCCCAUGGAGCCUCGAUGUCAGUGGUGAAGACGUCCUCAUCAGGUAACUCGGUGAUGAGUGGGGAGUCGUCACGUACAGGAUGUGCCGCCAGGAACUCCGCCAGAGCUUGUCCUUUAAUAGCUUUUUGCGGCACAAAUGUGAGAUCAAACUCUGUCAUGAGAAGAACCCACUUUGCUAGCCGUCCAGUGAGUGCGGGUUGACUGAGCAGAUACUUUAUUGGAUCUGCCCUUGCCACUAGCUGGAUUUCAUGUGCCAACAUGUAAUGCCUUAACUUCUUCAAAGCAAAGAUCAGUGCCAAGCACAACUUCUCGAUGGAGGAAUAGUUGCGUUCAGCACCCACCAUGGUGCGGCUCAAGUAGUAGCACGCCACCUCCUUGCCUUCAUCAUUAUGUUGAGCGAGUAGGGCGCCUAGUGAGGAAGGCUGCGCAGCAAUGUAAAGAAUGAGAGGGCGUCCUUUUAUAGGAGCAGCCAACACUGGAGGAUUAAGAAGGUACCUUUUGAUGCUAUCAAAGCAGUUUUGGCACUCCUCAUCCCAUACAAAUGGUGCUCCCUUCUUCAUUAGCUUAGAGAAGGGUUGUAUGCGUCCAGAGAGAUUUGAGAUGAAGCGCCUAAUGUAGGCCAAGUGUCCUUGGAGUGUCCUCAGCUCACUUAGCUUUUGGGGCGAUGGCAUCUCAAGGAUGGCCGUGAUCUUCUUUGGCUCAAUCUCGAUGCCGCGAUGUCGAACAACAAAGCCGAGGAAGACACCUGACCGGACAGCAAAUGCGCACUUGAGGGGGUUCAUCUUGAGCUGGUGUCGACGCAACCGCUCAAACACCACCCUAAGGUCAUCUUGAUGGUUCCUGCGGUCCUUUGUCUUUACCACCAUGUCGUCGACGUAACACUCGACAGAGUGGUGGAUUAGGUCACCGAGGAUGUAUGUCAUGGCCCGUUGGUAGGUUGCACCAGCGUUCUUCAACCCAAAAGGCAUCACUGUAUAAUGGAAGUUGCCUCUAGGUGUCCUGAAGGUGGUGUCGAGUGCAUCCACAGGGUCCAUCUUGAUUUGGUUGUAACCGGAGGACCAGUCCAUAAAGGACAAGGCAUCAAACCCAGUGGUGGCAUCGACUACCAACUCUGUGACUGGUAGGGGGAAGUCAUCCUUAGGACAAGCUCGGUUCAAGUCGCGAAAGUCAACGCAGACUCGAACUUGUCCAUUCUUCUUCUCCACGGGGACAAUAGACGAGAGCCAGCGAGGGUAUUGUAUCUCUUUGAUGAACCCGGCUGUGAUCAACUUGUCAACCUCAGCUAUGACUUGGUCUGGAAACUCAGGUCGGACACGUCGAGGUGCUUGCUUCACAGGACGACAUUGUGGGUCAAUCGCCAAUUUAUGAGUGGCGACACUAGGGUCCAACCCAGGCAUCUCUUUGUAGCUCCAUGCGAAGCAAUCUAUAUACUCCAUUAGGAAGCUUCGAUAAUCUUCUCGCUCCUCCUCCGUGAGCGUGGCGCUUACAAAGGUAGGUCGCGGGUCCUCUUCAGUUCCUAGGUUGAUUUGCACAAGCUCAUCAACGGUAGGUUGCCCACCAUCUUCAAGUUGUUGAGGUGCAGGUGUAGCGUCUAGCUCUCCACCUUCAACUGCCUGGUGUCGAGGAUGGUAUGAGUAGCUAGCUUCAUCAUUUGUGGUGGUUGAUAUGGUGAAGCAGUGGACAACAUUGGCAUUAACUGGAUCUCUUCCUUCAUCAGAGGUGUCGAUGUGUCGGUAGCCAAGUCCAAACUUUGAUUGGACUUUAUGUUUCGCCUUGACCAGAGCUUCCGCUUGACUCCACCAUUGCUCGCAUAUAGCUGGUGGUGGUGGCAUUCUAUUAUUCGGGCCGAGAGUAAUUCCAGCCUUCUCUAACAAGUGAGCCAUCCCAGGCUCGGCCUUCAUGGUUGUCAGUGCUUCGUCUACAUCAUGAUCAGGGUUAGGGAAUUCAUGCACAAAGUCACAAUGUUGUACUUGUGGCACCUUAUAGAAGAUAGUGCGCGGUGAAGAAGGGGAGUGACCUGGAAUUGUCCAUACUUCCAACUCAGAGGUUGUCGAUAUGUACAAUGCUGGAGGCUGCAUACACUCAGCGCUCGUUGCCACUCCUUCUAUUUCAGCGACUCUCUUCUUGACAGCUCCUUCCGGCGCCAUUAUGGCUUGACUUGUAGACGCCUGAGUUGUAGUGAUUGUUGGUGCAUUUUUACUCAUUACGAGCGGCUUGGCGCCCCCUUGCCCACUUGUGGAACUCCCAAUGGUCAAUGCACCAGACUUUGGAUGCACCUCAUCUCGUGGGAUCUCCUUGGAUGAAGAGGCAAAUGUCAAUAAAGGCCUUCGUGUGGACCUUAAGGUGACCGGCGUUGAUGGAGAGACUCCCACAUUUAAUGAUGAAGGAAUGGUUAUGGGUGUGGAGGAGAUGCCUCCCGCCCCCUGCCUAGUCCUCCUAGAUCUUGGGGAGAUCCUUUGCUUGGAAGGAGAGCAUGGCAUGAUGAGGGCUUUCACCUCGGGUGUUGUAGUGCCCAGCUUCAACACGAUGUCUGCUGCAGGUGCAACACGACCAAGCUGGUGCUUGUACUCCUCGACUGGGAAGUAGUAUUUGGCAUCUGCAUGGUACGCCUCCUGUAUGGUAUAUGGUGACAUGUUGCCGAUGAUACGCUGUUGUGUCUUGCUCCCAUCGAGGAACUUCAAGUAUUGAUGCAGAGUAGACGGCACCACCCGAUACUUGUGAAUCCACGGCCUCCCUAGAAGCGCGGAGUAUGACGUGUUGGCGUCGAUGACGUAGAACCGUACCUUGAAGCUGAAGGUGGACAUCUGGAUCUUCAUGGUUAGAGCUCCCAAAGUCGUCUUCCCAAAGUUGUCAAAGCCGCAAAUGACAACAUCUGUAGGCUCCAAGUCAUCCACCGUGAAGCCAGCCCGCGUUAGACUCCGCAGGGGCAAAAUGUUCACAGCAGACCUAGGGUCAAUCAGGAUUCAGCGAAGGUGCGCGACUCCUAUGUUCCCCUCAACAUAGAGUGGACAGUUGUGGUCACCAGCUUCUAUCACCUCAUCUUCCUCGUCAAAAGUGAUCUCAUUCACAAACAACGGGUUGUUGACGAGGCGGUGCUUGGCCAUAACCACUUCAUAGAGCUCGGGUUCGAGCAGCGCCUUCACGAGGGCUUCUCGAAGAUCAGGCACUAGCAUGAGAGCAUCAUAGACACUUAGCAGCGCCGGGAUCCGCUUUAGGUGGGAAACGACAUUGUAGUCGAUAUCCUCAAUCCGGUUCUUCUUCUUCUUUGAUGGUUCGAGCGCUCCUGAUGGUGGGGCACCUUCAUUUACAGCCUUGUUUGCCUUCGGUUGCUUGGCUUGGGGUAGUUCUUGUAGAGCUCUCCCACUUCGUAAGUUCAUGUUGACUUCGGCUGGGGCAUCUCUUUUCUCGUCACCAUCAUGGAGCAUUUCUUGCUCCCUAGCCGUAAGCACUUCCUCGGAGCCUGAGUUCUCAUCUUUGCUUCUAGUGGAAGUUGUAUUACAUGUUGCCAUGUUCGAGGUCAAGUAAGAGCUCGACUCUACUUGUGCUUCCUUAUUUGGGACUUGCCCCCGGCGCUUAGGCCAGAAUUCCGCUAAGGUAGGUAGCACACGGCCUGCACGAGGGAAGGGUGCGUCUCCCUCCGUCUUGGGAACGAAACGGGGUUGUGGGUGCCGCCGGCUUGGGUCUAGCUGCCCUUGUGUAUGUGGGGAUACAAUGGUGCGAGGAUGUCGAGGGGGGCGACCAUUUGAUCGUCGUCGAUGUUGUACCUCUAUCCAUGUCUCUUCCCGAGCGAUCCUAGGUGUCUCUCCUGAUGUGGUUCGGGGCUCUUCGAUCAUCAUGUGGGCGAGUUGCUCCUCAGCGUGCAUCACGGGCACCCAUGAUCCUCCAUCUUCUCCUCCUCCUUGCCUUGGUGGAGAGUUUGUAUCCAAAGUCACCACGUUAACAGUGUGGUAGUCGGGGUUGACAGCUUCAGGAUCUAGGUUGAUCCUCCUCUCGGUGAUGGCUCUUUGUAGCCACUCCUUAAAGGCGAUGCAGUCCUCAAUCGAGUGACCGAUGUACCUGUGGUAUGGACAGUAUAAAGCAUUAUUAGACAUGUUUACCUGGUCUGGCCGGCGUGGCUCCGGAAGGUUGAGCGCUUUAUGCUCCAUUAGGUGCUCGAACAUGUCCUUCACUAGCUCCCGUUUGAAGAUGUAUUGCUUCUUGAGAAGGUCUUGGAGACGCAUCCUCCCUCCUCCUUGUUCAUUCCUGGCACCUACGAAAGGCACUUGACCUUGAGGAGCGUUGGAGAAGGCCCUUGCAGUGUUUGCCUCCGCUUGAGCCUUCAUUUUGCCCCUAGCGUUGUUGAACUUCGCUGUCGAGCUGAAGCGCUUGGCAGGUUCAAAGACGCUGGCAUUCUUGUAGAGCUCCAUGAUUUGAGGUGAUUUCUCAAAUUCAAUCUUGGUGGCAGCCACUGCAGAGCUCAGCUCACUGAACGUCCUAGGCUCUCGUCGUGAAACUUCUAGCGACCAAUGUUGUAGCAUUCCAUGAAUGCACAUCCCGAUCGCAUCUUCAAUGUGCAUGUCUCUCGCUAGACGCACGAAGUUAUCUCGAAAUCGAAUGAGGAAAUCGUCGAUAGGUUCAUCACAUCGUUGCUUGACUUGUGACAGCUCAACGACAGAGAUGUCCCUCUUCAUGGCGACGAAGUGCUUCUUGAAGGCCUUCUUCAUGUCAGUCCAGUUGCUAAUUUUUCCUAUCGGCAGCCGGCUGUACCAAUGGAACGCCGCGCCGGUCAGAGAUCCUGAGAAUUGGCGGAGUAGUAGCGACGAGUUGUUAGCUGUGUCGCCACAUGCCGCUUCGAAGUAGGCCAGGUGCUCUCUCGCGUCUCCAGUGCCAUCAAACUGACGGAACUUUGGUGGGCGCCAUCCAGCUGGGAAGGGUACAAGAUCAUGCCAUGCUUCGUAUGGCUUCUCCAAGUCACCCUCGAGCGAGUGUGGUGCCUGCUCAUUGGUGAUCUGCCUCAUCUUCUUGGUCACCAAGUCUUCGACUAUGUCAUGAUAGUCUUUUAACGUCGAUGGUUGUGGUCCUGCACUUGCUGAAGCAGAGACAUUUUGUAACGGGGGAGGGCGAGCACUUGCUAUGCCCUCCACCUCGUGAACUUGCGGAUCUUCAGGAGCUUGAGGUGCACCAUCAGGAGACCUAUUCCGUGUCAAGGUUGUUAUUAGCUCGACGAGGUUGUCAAACUUUGUUGAUAACACCCUGAUCACCUCGCCUUGUGCUUGUACUUGUUCUUCCAAGCUUCCUCUUUGGUUACUAUUUUCCCCUGCCAUGUGGGCCGGCGCAGUGUUGAGGUCACCAAUGUAAUCCUCUCCGUCUGAAGGGAUGGAACGAGCGAGGUUGUCAAAGAGUGGCACAGUGGAGUGCACCUCUAAGGACGCAGAAGAUUCAUAAUCGGAGACGUCGGUGUAGGGGCCCGAAAACUCCUUCUCAUCAUUCUUUCCUUCUUUGACCUUCUGCUCCGCGAUUGACUUGAGCCGAGUACUAGCUCCGGCCCGACCAGCGAUCUGUUGUACCUCAUCAAGGUUGUGUGGAAGUCGAGACGUGAUGUCAGCAUAGCGCCUUGGAGAUAUGUCUGAUGCCACUGCGUCAUCCCCUUUGGAUAGUGCAUUCCUACCCUCAGUGACAGGUAGGCAGGGAGCUGAGGUAAAGCUCGCUCUAGGAUUGACUUGUAUUUCCUCAUCAGAGGGGUAGGUGAAGUCAUGGGUCACUGGAGGUGGGACCCAUGUCUCUUUGGAUUUAAGCCUCGAGUGUGCUGUUAAUGCAACGCACAUGGCUACAUCCUUCUUGGGCACUUUAGCUGUUUCAUCUAUCAUGCCUGUGUCGUCAGCUUGUGCUUGGGGAAAGGCUUCACCAUCUUGCGUAGAUGGCACCUUCUCAACCCCCUCCAUUGGUGUAGCUGAUGUUGAGGAUGACUCGCUUAGGCUUUCUGAAGAAGCCAUACUUGGAGUAGCCUCACGUGAUCCUUCUCUCUUCAAGAUGGUCAGGGGACGCUCUUGAAGAGACGUGGUCUCCUUUCCUGUUGCCUCACUACGUCGAAUCUUGCGUGGCUUUGGGGUCAAUCGUUUGAGAAGGUAUUGGUACCUCUCAUCAUUUCCAAAGCGGGGGAGGUGCGGAACAUGAUCCUCCCAUUUUGCUGAUUGACCUCUCCGUCAGCACAGAUGCGAACUUGAGUGUGCUUAAGCACUAACUCUUCAAGCUCACGGUACAAUGCAUGGCGGUUCCUUCGACGCCUUUUACGCUUGCGUUGAUUCUCCGUAGGCAUGUGUCGAACCUGUGGUGCCACUUGUAAUGACAGGGGAACCACUGGCCCAGCAGGUCGAGGAGUCAUGAUUGGCAUGUUCUCCUCGCGUCGUCUUAACGUUGGGGCUUCACGUCUUGGGGAAGUCGGGACUAGAGGAAGCCUUCCAACUUGUGGAGUGUCGUUGGUGUGUCGUUGUUGAGUUUCUCGAGGGGGUGCAGCGUAGUCAUGACGCCUUGCCCACAUGUUCCGUCGCGGAGGCGGUGCCAUGUAUCCUCGAUGCAUGGGUGGUGGAGUCCUUCGACGUGGCGCUAAGGUCAGGCGCUCAUGUUGGGGACGAUAGGUUGGCGCGCGUCUAUCUACCCCGCUCCUAAAUCGAGCUGAGAAAGACUCUGGCGCACCAUGUAGCCUUCUACCUGAUUGGGCCACCUGGUCUUGCAGUCGACGGAGCUCCUCUUGCACAUCUUCAUUAUGAGGCGUGGUUUCUUGAGCUUGCAGGGGUGCAAACCUAUUGCCGUUGGAAGAUGGCGCGUCACUAGUCGUCGUUGUAUGAAGGCACGUCACCCACCCAGUCGGUUGGAUAGGGAUGGUAUUGUCGAUGACGGUGGUUGGCCCGGUUACGUAGGGCUGCUUGUUUGAGCGGCGCCUUUUCCAAUACUCCUGCAUGAUUGUGCGCCUCACAAGCUCCUUAACUUUGGUCGGUUCAUACGCCCAAUCGUCAGGGAACAAGUUAUAUGGAGGCUCCACCGUGCUGGGGUAUACGAACACCUUGUGACUAAGGUCUCUCACGUCUAGAGACCAGUCCUCCUCUGGAACAGUGCUUCGUGCAAUGCGAGCACUGACUUGUUGAUGAAGCUGUUGUACCUUGCGGUACUUCCGUCUGAGGUUGCGUAGUGGAUGUGGGCUUGACGCAUGUCGAGCAUGUGUCAUUUGUCGACGCAGGUUGCCAGAGACAGCCUCCAAAGCUUCUAGCAACUCUACCUCCGUGUGUUCCACAAUGGGAACGGGCAGGCGUUGAUUAGGAGUUGGUGUAGGGAACCGUAAACCUGCACAGCUUGCGCGUCUAUUGUUCGCCUUGGUGCGCAAGUGUUGCGCAGUGUGGACGUCUCCCUUGAUCUCCGCGACGGCAGACUUCUUCAAGAGGGCACGUGCUUCCAGGAUGAGGUUGCGACGCUCCUUCCUGGCCUUGGCAAAGGCCAACUUCUGCGCCUUCUUGGACUCAGUCUUUUGGAACCGUGCGGGAUCUUGCGUCUGGUGGAUGUAGGUCUUAUUGUGAUGCUCGAAGACCGCCACCGGAGAGUGCGUGCCGAAGGAGAUCAAGAACGGGACCUCGACGUUAGCGGCACCGUGUACUGCUCCAGCUCUCUCGUGGAUUGCCAUGGGGCGAGUGCUCUCGAACUUGAUGGGGAACGCCAGCUUGGUGUCGGCAGCUUCAAGUCGUGGUCCCGCUUGUCGAGAGAUUGGCACCAUGAAUUGCCCAAUCUGAAUCAGGCCUGGCUCCUGGGUGGUUGCAGCGUUAGUUGGUCCUCCUGCAAGAAGGGGACCAUUCAUUAGGACAGCUCGACCUCAAGGACCAUCAUGCCGCAUGCUGUGUUUGUUGGAGAAGAGGCGAAGACGAAUCCGACGACCACAUAGCAGCAAAGAUGGGAGGAGAACCAUGUCCCACUGGGCGUGCCAAUUUGUUUGGACACCAGAAAAUCCGCCUGAAGCGGCUUCUCGUGUGGGAAAAGUGCGGGCGUGCCAGUGUACUAAAGUACACAAAAUAAAAUAACAAGAAUAAAUAUAAGACAGAAACAUGCACUUUUAUUAACCAUCAGGUUUAAUAAAUACAAAUUCCUAAUGCGCGCUACACAACUUGCUAGCAGCAAUCUGACAAAGGCGAUGUGGUCUUCAUGGUUCCUGAGGCCUCGGAAGGCUCCCAGUUAAUUACCCCCGCGAGCUGACUCGCAGAGUACCUCCGAUUAAGCUGUUGUGGUCGUCGUCGUCGAUCUUCGCUUCACUUCUCCAUGCGUGGUGUUGGUGUAGAUGUAGGUGGCGUUGGCGUGAGGGCCUCGUCGGUCCAUGAGCCGGUACAACAUGACUGGAAUAUCAGCCAUGCCCGCCUGCGUCGUUCGCCUUGUCGGUGUCGAACUCUGCGUGCUGUCAUCAUAAUCGCACUUGCAUGGUUGGUGUCGCUUGAAUCGCCUCGGACUUCCUCGGCAGCGUCGUCGUGGUACGCCAUGAGCUUGAUCGCGUGGAGUUGUUGAAGUAGUGGAUGAAGACUUGUACGUCGCCUUGCUUGAAUCUUCAUCGUACAUGGAUGCAUAGCUUGUAUAUGUUCGCAUGUACAUGUACACAACCACAUCACGGCGCCGAGGUCUAGCGGCCUGUACCUGUUCUUUGCUUGCACGUACAUGUGUAGAUGCAUGCAUGGCCAGAACAUAUAUAUCCACACAUACACGCGCUCGAGCGUGUUUGCUUCUUGCACUUGCAUAUCUUCUGAGUCGUUGCACAUAUACAUAUGCUAACGGUGCACGUAUGGCAUGUGCCUCGCCGCUGCCGUCGUGACUUGGCCAACAGCUAUACGCACGCACAGAGGGUGGUCGUAUCGAGCUCAUCUUCCAGGCUUUAACGUCCGCCAGUGUACACUCGGCAGCCGCGUCAUCCAGUCGUCAGCCAGCCUUGACGCCGGCCGAUGUAGAUACUGAUAUGCAAAAAUUGAAAGAAACAAUACUAGAUUGACUAGAUUAAUUUCUUACCCAUGGAUGUCGUGGACGAUGACAUCUCCUGUUGUUUGCUAGUCCUCUCAGAUGGAGAUGAAGACGUAUGUAUACCCUCCUUGCCGACGGCCGAGCGCACAAGAAGUCUGGCAGCACUUCGUGAACUAUGGAUGGGUGAUUGUAAUUAGCCUUCACGUGAGACCUCGAGACUCUUUAUAUAG